rnacentral:rRNA from 1 species
AACGUAGGAGACAAACGUUAUCCGGAGUUACUGGGCGUAAAGGGCGUGUAGGUGGUAGUGUAAGUCUGGCGUGAAAUUUUUCGGCUUAACCGGGAAAGGUCGUCGGAUACUGCACAACUAGAGGACGGUAGAGGCGUGUGGAAUUCCGGGUGUAGUGGUGAAAUGCGUAGAGAUCCGGAGGAACACCAGUGGCGAAGGCGACACGCUGGGCCGUACCUGACACUGAUGCGCGACAGCGUGGGGAGCAAACAGG